GAUUGAACGCUGGCGGCAGGCCUAACACAUGCAAGUCGAACGGUAACAGGAAGCAGCUUGCUGCUUYGCUGACGAGUGGCGGACGGGUGAGUAAUGUCUGGGAAACUGCCYGAUGGAGGGGGAUAACUACUGGAAACGGUGGCUAAUACCGCAUAACGUCGCAAGACCAAAGAGGGGGACCUUCGGGCCUCUUGCCAUCAGAUGUGCCCAGAUGGGAUUAGCUUGUUGGUGAGGUAACGGCUCACCAAGGCGACGAUCCCUAGCUGGUCUGAGAGGAUGACCAGCCACACUGGAACUGAGACACGGUCCAGACUCCUACGGGAGGCAGCAGUGGGGAAUAUUGCACAAUGGGCGCAAGCCUGAUGCAGCCAUGCCGCGUGUAUGAAGAAGGCCUUCGGGUUGUAAAGUACUUUCAGCGGGGAGGAAGGUGUUGUGGUUAAUAACCGCAGCAAUUGACGUUACCCGCAGAAGAAGCACCGGCUAACUCCG
rnacentral:rRNA from 1 species